GACGAACGCUGGCGGCGUGCUUAACACAUGCAAGUCGAACGGAAAGGCCUUUUCGGAGGUACUCGAGUGGCGAACGGGUGAGUAACACGUGGGUGAUCUGCCCUGCACUCUGGGAUAAGCCUGGGAAACUGGGUCUAAUACCGGAUAGGACCGCACUUUAGUGUGUGUGGUGGAAAGUUUUUUCGGUGUAGGAUGAGCCCGCGGCCUAUCAGCUUGUUGGUGGGGUAAUGGCCUACCAAGGCGGCGACGGGUAGCCGGACUGAGAGGUUGGUCGGCCACAUUGGGACUGAGAUACGGCCCAGACUCCUACGGGAGGCAGCGGUGGGGAAGAUUGCACAAUGGGCGCAAGCCUGAUGCAGCGACGCCGCGUGGGGGAUGACGGCCUUCGGGUUGUAAACUCCUUUCGCCAGGGACGAAGCGUUUUGUGACGGUACCUGGAGAAGAAGCACCGGCUAACUACGUG
rnacentral:rRNA from 1 species